AUUGAACGCUGGCGGCAUGCCUUACACAUGCAAGUCGAACGGCAGCACGGGAGCAAUCCUGGUGGCGAGUGGCGAACGGGUGAGUAAAGUAUCGGAACGUGCCCAGUCGUGGGGGAUAACGUAGCGAAAGUUACGCUAAUACCGCAUACGAUCUAUGGAUGAAAGCGGGGGAUCGCAAGACCUCGCGCGAUUGGAGCGGCCGAUUGCAGAGUAGGUAGUUGGUGGGGUAAAGGCCCACCAAGCCGACGAUCUGUAGCGGGUCUGAGAGGACGACCAGACACGCUGGGGAUGAGACGCGGCCCAGAAUCCUACGGGGGGCAGCAGUGGGGAAUUUUGGACAAUGGUCGAAAGCCUGAUCCAGCCAUGCCGCGUGCAGGAUGAAGGCCUUCGGGUUGUAAACUGCUUUUGUACGGAACGAAAAGGUUUGGGCUAAUAAGCUGAGCUCAUGACGGUACCGUAAGAAUAAGCACCGGCUAACUACGUGCCAGCCGCCGCCGUAA
rnacentral:rRNA from 1 species